UUAAGUUAUUAAGGGCGCACGGUGGAUGCCUUGGCACUAGAAGCCGAUGAAGGACGUUACUAACGACGAUAUGCUUUGGGGAGCUGUAAGUAAGCUUUGAUCCAGAGAUUUCCGAAUGGGGAAACCCAGCAUGAGUUAUGUCAUGUUAUCGAUAUGUGAAUACAUAGCAUAUCAGAAGGCACACCCGGAGAACUGAAACAUCUUAGUACCCGGAGGAAGAAAAAGAAAAUUCGAUUCCCUUAGUAGCGGCGAGCGAAACGGGAAGAGCCCAAACCAACAAGCUUGCUUGUUGGGGUUGUAGGACACUCUAUACGGAGUUACAAAGGACGACAUUAGACGAAUCAUCUGGAAAGAUGAAUCAAAGAAGGUAAUAAUCCUGUAGUCGAAAAUGUUGUCUCUCUUGAGUGGAUCCUGAGUACGACGGAACACGUGAAAUUCCGUCGGAAUCUGGGAGGACCAUCUCCUAAGGCUAAAUACUCUCUAGUGACCGAUAGUGAACCAGUACCGUGAGGGAAAGGUGAAAAGCACCCCGGAAGGGGAGUGAAAUAGAACCUGAAACCGUGUGCUUACAAGUAGUCAGAGCCCGUUAAUGGGUGAUGGCGUGCCUUUUGUAGAAUGAACCGGCGAGUUACGAUUUGAUGCAAGGUUAAGCAGUAAAUGUGGAGCCGUAGCGAAAGCGAGUCUGAAUAGGGCGUUUAGUAUUUGGUCGUAGACCCGAAACCAGGUGAUCUACCCUUGGUCAGGUUGAAGUUCAGGUAACACUGAAUGGAGGACCGAACCGACUUACGUUGAAAAGUGAGCGGAUGAACUGAGGGUAGCGGAGAAAUUCCAAUCGAACCUGGAGAUAGCUGGUUCUCUCCGAAAUAGCUUUAGGGCUAGCCUCAAGUGAUGAUUAUUGGAGGUAGAGCACUGUUUGGACGAGGGGCCCCUCUCGGGUUACCGAAUUCAGACAAACUCCGAAUGCCAAUUAAUUUAACUUGGGAGUCAGAACAUGGGUGAUAAGGUCCGUGUUCGAAAGGGAAACAGCCCAGACCACCAGCUAAGGUCCCAAAAUAUAUGUUAAGUGGAAAAGGAUGUGGCGUUGCCCAGACAACUAGGAUGUUGGCUUAGAAGCAGCCAUCAUUUAAAGAGUGCGUAAUAGCUCACUAGUCGAGUGACACUGCGCCGAAAAUGUACCGGGGCUAAACAUAUUACCGAAGCUGUGGAUUGUCCUUUGGACAAUGGUAGGAGAGCGUUCUAAGGGCGUUGAAGCAUGAUCGUAAGGACAUGUGGAGCGCUUAGAAGUGAGAAUGCCGGUGUGAGUAGCGAAAGACGGGUGAGAAUCCCGUCCACCGAUUGACUAAGGUUUCCAGAGGAAGGCUCGUCCGCUCUGGGUUAGUCGGGUCCUAAGCUGAGGCCGACAGGCGUAGGCGAUGGAUAACAGGUUGAUAUUCCUGUACCACCUAUAAUCGUUUUAAUCGAUGGGGGACGCAGUAGGAUAGGCGAAGCGUGCGAUUGGAUUGCACGUCUAAGCAGUAAGGCUGAGUAUUAGGCAAAUCCGGUACUCGUUAAGGCUGAGCUGUGAUGGGGAGAAGACAUUGAGUCUUCGAGUCGUUGAUUUCACACUGCCGAGAAAAGCCUCUAGAUAGAAAAUAGGUGCCCGUACCGCAAACCGACACAGGUAGUCAAGAUGAGAAUUCUAAGGUGAGCGAGCGAACUCUCGUUAAGGAACUCGGCAAAAUGACCCCGUAACUUCGGGAGAAGGGGUGCUCUUUAGGGUUAACGCCCAGAAGAGCCGCAGUGAAUAGGCCCAAGCGACUGUUUAUCAAAAACACAGGUCUCUGCUAAACCGUAAGGUGAUGUAUAGGGGCUGACGCCUGCCCGGUGCUGGAAGGUUAAGAGGAGUGGUUAGCUUCUGCGAAGCUACGAAUCGAAGCCCCAGUAAACGGCGGCCGUAACUAUAACGGUCCUAAGGUAGCGAAAUUCCUUGUCGGGUAAGUUCCGACCCGCACGAAAGGCGUAACGAUUUGGGCACUGUCUCAACGAGAGACUCGGUGAAAUCAUAGUACCUGUGAAGAUGCAGGUUACCCGCGACAGGACGGAAAGACCCCGUGGAGCUUUACUGUAGCCUGAUAUUGAAAUUCGGCACAGCUUGUACAGGAUAGGUAGGAGCCUUUGAAACGUGAGCGCUAGCUUACGUGGAGGCGCUGGUGGGAUACUACCCUAGCUGUGUUGGCUUUCUAACCCGCACCACUUAUCGUGGUGGGAGACAGUGUCAGGCGGGCAGUUUGACUGGGGCGGUCGCCUCCUAAAAGGUAACGGAGGCGCUCAAAGGUUCCCUCAGAAUGGUUGGAAAUCAUUCAUAGAGUGUAAAGGCAUAAGGGAGCUUGACUGCGAGACCUACAAGUCGAGCAGGGUCGAAAGACGGACUUAGUGAUCCGGUGGUUCCGCAUGGAAGGGCCAUCGCUCAACGGAUAAAAGCUACCCCGGGGAUAACAGGCUUAUCUCCCCCAAGAGUUCACAUCGACGGGGAGGUUUGGCACCUCGAUGUCGGCUCAUCGCAUCCUGGGGCUGUAGUCGGUCCCAAGGGUUGGGCUGUUCGCCCAUUAAAGCGGUACGCGAGCUGGGUUCAGAACGUCGUGAGACAGUUCGGUCCCUAUCCGUCGUGGGCGUAGGAAAUUUGAGAGGAGCUGUCCUUAGUACGAGAGGACCGGGAUGGACAUACCUCUGGUGUACCAGUUGUCGUGCCAACGGCAUAGCUGGGUAGCUAUGUGUGGACGGGAUAAGUGCUGAAAGCAUCUAAGCAUGAAGCCCCCCUCAAGAUGAGAUUUCCCAACUUCGGUUAUAAGAUCCCUCAAAGAUGAUGAGGUUAAUAGGUUCGAGGUGGAAGCAUGGUGACAUGUGGAGCUGACGAAUACUAAUCGAUCGAAGACUUAAUCAA
rnacentral:rRNA from 2 species